rnacentral:rRNA from 1 species
CAGUCGCCACGGGAAUACGUAGGUGGCAAGCGUUGUCCGGAAUUAUUGGGCGUAAAGGGCUCGCAGGCGGUUUCUUAAGUCUGAUGUGAAAGCCCCCGGCUCAACCGGGGAGGGUCAUUGGAAACUGGGAAACUUGAGUGCAGAAGAGGAGAGUGGAAUUCCACGUGUAGCGGUGAAAUGCGUAGAGAUGUGGAGGAACACCAGUGGCGAAGGCGACUCUCUGGUCCGUAACUGACGCUGAGGAGCGAAAGCGUGGGGAGCGAACGGGAUUAGAGACCCGCGUAGUCCCUGUCUCUUAUAA